rnacentral:rRNA from 1 species
UACGGGGGGGGGCAAGCGUUUGUUCGGAAUUACUGGGCGUAAAGGGCUCGUAGGCGGCCAACUAAGUCAUACGUGAAAUCCCUCGGCUUAACCGGGGAACUGCGUCUGAUACUGGAUGGCUUGAGUUCGGGAGAGGGAUGCGGAAUUCCAGGUGUAGCGGUGAAAUGCGUAGAUAUCUGGAGGAACACCGGUGGCGAAGGCGGCAUCCUGGCCGAUACUGACGCUGAGGAGCGAAACCAGGGGAGCAAACGGG